rnacentral:lncRNA from 10 species
CAUGAUUCUGCCUAAAAUUUAAUGAAAUAAAAUACGUGGCAACCUGGAACUCUAUACUUAGUAAAAAUAUACUUCAAUAAUAAUAAUAAUAAUAAAAGAAUUUCCAGACAAACAAAAACAGAGAAUUUGUUACUAGAACUAUUGCACUAAAAAAAAUAAUAAUAAAGGGUGGUCUUUAGAAAGAAGGCAAAUGAUCUCAGAUGGAAGCUCACAGAUGGAGAAAAUAAUGUCAUUUAGAAAAGGUAUUUAUUGAAGACUCCACUGGGUGCCAAGGCAGAGGCCUAACUCAAAAAGUAAGCAAACAAACAUGAGAAUGACAGAUUAUGACAAGUGGCAUGAAGAAAAUAAAUCAGAUAAUAGGAAGUGAUUGGAGGGAGAAGACACUCUGGAUGAGGUGAUCCUGGGAGGGUCUCUGAGGUAGAGGCCUUU